rnacentral:rRNA from 1 species
GCCCUUAGAGUUUGAUCCGGCUCAGGAUGAACGCUACUUACAGGCUUAACACAUGCAAGUCGAGGGGCAGCAUGAACUUAGCUUGCUAAGUUUGAUGGCGACCGGCGCACGGGUGAGUAACACGUAUCCAACCUGCCGACGACUCGGGGAUAGCCUUUCGAAAGAAAGAUUAAUACCCGAUGGCAUAGUUCUUCCGCAUGGUAGAACUAUUAAAGAAUUUCGGUCAUCGAUGGGGAUGCGUUCCAUUAGGUUGUUGGCGGGGUAACGGCCCACCAAGCCUUCGAUGGAUAGGGGUUCUGAGAGGAAGGUCCCCCACAUUGGAACUGAGACACGGUCCAAACUCCUACGGGAGGCAGCAGUGAGGAAUAUUGGUCAAUGGACGAGAGUCUGAACCAGCCAAGUAGCGUGAAGGAUGACUGCCCUAUGGGUUGUAAACUUCUUUUAUACGGGAAUAAAGUGAGGCACGUGUGCCUUUUUGUAUGUACCGUAUGAAUAAGGAUCGGCUAACUCCGUGCCAGCAGCCGCGGUAAUACGGAGGAUCCGAGCGUUAUCCGGAUUUAUUGGGUUUAAAGGGAGCGUAGGCGGACGCUUAAGUCAGUUGUGAAAGUUUGCGGCUCAACCGUAAAAUUGCAGUUGAUACUGGGUGUCUUGAGUACAGUAGAGGCAGGCGGAAUUCGUGGUGUAGCGGUGAAAUGCUUAGAUAUCACGAAGAACUCCGAUUGCGAAGGCAGCCUGCUGGACUGUAACUGACGCUGAUGCUCGAAAGUGUGGGUAUCAAACAGG